rnacentral:rRNA from 1 species
UACAGAGGGUGCGAGCGUUAAUCGGAAUUACUGGGCGUAAAGCGCACGUAGUCGGCUUUGCAAGUCGGUUGUGAAAUCCCCGGGCUCAACCUGGGAACUGCAUCCGAGACUGCAUUGCUAGAGUAUGGGAGAGGGAAGCGGAAUUUCUGGUGUAGCAGUGAAAUGCGUAGAUAUUCGGAAGAACACCAGUGGCGAAGGCGACUCGCUGGACAAGUAUUGACGCUGAGGUGCGAAAGCGUGGGGAGCAAACAGG